GGAGCGCUGCGUAGAGCGGUGCGUGGAGCAGUGCGUGGAGCGAGGCAUGGCCAGCUGCGUGGGUAACUGGGCGCCCAUCUUCUACCUGGCUUUGCUGUUCGACGUGGCGGGGUUCGCGGUGUUGCUCGUGGGGAUCUUUGGCAAUUUAAGACUCGACGGGCGCUUUUACGGGGAUUUCCUCAUCUACACGGGCGCCCUCAUCAUCUUCCUCAGCCUCGUGUGGUGGGUGCUCUGGUACACAGGGAACGUCCAGCUUUACACGGGACUAGAGAGGCGUGCGACGGGGGAUUCGGGCUCCUGUAAUGUCAGUUUCACACACUGGGCUCGCAAGUUAUCCAAGAGACUGUCCGGGAGCAGCGUCAAAGGUGUGGAUGACUGGGAAGCGCAGAAGAAGCACGCCAUGGCCAACGAGAAGGAGGCGAAGGGGGUCCAGUGGGAGAAGCGCGGGUCUGGGCACGAAAACAAGGGCUUUGACGCGGGGCAAGAAGCGGUGGACGAUAAGAACGUGGAGCUGGGAGUGCUCGGGAGCGCAGAGCGAGCUCCACGGGAGGACAAGGCGGAGAGGCUGCUCUAGACACGAAUUCACCUGGCUUCCACUGGAGGCUACUAUGAUGCUACAUGACAGAGGACACAAAGAACAGACACCUGUCCCGGAGGCUAUUGCUGUCUUCAGACUGCCCCGACACUGCAUUUGAUGACCAUACCUGUUGAGCUGAGCUGAUGCCGAGGUGGUCCAGGUGUGCUCCUCCAGGACAUGUUUACACUGCUCUCACUACAGACACUUUGUGCAGUUCAUGUGGAUGGACUGUUUGUGAAUCAGGGAAUGCUCUGGAUCCUUCAGAGCUGUGCACAGUACUCAAUAACUCAAAGUACUUUCUAUAUUUGUAUGUUCUCUAU